rnacentral:rRNA from 1 species
CAGCCGUAAACUAUGCGCGUUAGGUGUACUGGUGACCACGAGUCACCGGGGUGCCGAAGGGAAACCGUGAAACGUGCCGCCUGGGAAGUACGGUCGCAAGGCUGAAACUUAAAGGAAUUGGCGGGGGAGCACCGCAACGGGAGGAGCGUGCGGUUUAAUUGGAUUCAACGCCGAAAAACUCACCAGCAGCGACUGUUACAUGAAAGUCAGGUUGAUGACCUUACUAGAUUUUUCAGAGAGGAGGUGCAUGGCGUCAGUGACU